GACGUAGGGUGCGAGCGUUGUCCGGAUUUAUUGGGCGUAAAGAGCUCGUAGGCGGCUCGUCGCGUCGACCGUGAAAACUUGGGGCUUAACCCUAAGCUUGCGGUUGAUACGGGCGGGCUAGAGUUCGGUAGGGGAGACUGGAAUUCCUGGUGUAGCGGUGAAAUGCGCAGAUAUCAGGAGGAACACCGGUGGCGAAGGCGGGUCUCUGGGCAGUAACUGACGCUGAGGAGCGAAAGCGUGGGGAGCGAACAGG
rnacentral:rRNA from 1 species